CUCGGGCCGAGGUGCGGCCCGAGGAUAGAAGGAAGGAGGACGCUCCCCUGCCCGGACCCCCCCGGGAGAGGAGAAGAGGCAGACACCGCGCCACAGCCAGGGCAAGAAGAAGAGGAGGAGCCGGGGGUGGAAUCUGAGGGGAUCCCGGGGUGAGGGGAGCACCGUGAGAGAGGAACAGCAGAGGCCAAUUACCAUGAGAGGGAGACAGGCGCAGGAGAGGCCAUUGGCUUCCAAUAAAAUGACAAUAACGGCAAAUUAGCAUAGACCCCUCCAUGCCCUCCACCCACACAGCCUGCAACAAAGACUCUGCACUCACAGGGCAGGAAGGGGUUAAUCUGCUCAAUGGGGGGGACAUGGGGGGAGAGGGGGGGCUGUCUGGAUUAAUAUAGUAACUCCAUUGGCAAUACAUUGAAUAAAGGGAGAAAAAGGGGCAACUUCAGAUAACACUGGGGGUUGGGGGUAUUAUUUAUUUAUUUUUAACAAAUUCACUACAUUUAGAGUAAUUUUAAAAUUUCAGAUUUUUUUUAUUUUUUAAAUCUAAAAAUCUGAUUUAUGUCAAUUUAUGGUAUGAGGAAGCAGAUUGAUUAUAUAUUUAAUUUAUUGAAAAAAAUAUAUAUAUUUAGCGCAAGAGAAAUACACAGUAUUGGAGUAUGUCAUCUUGUUUUUUUUUGUUUUUUUUUUUAAAAGCAAAAUAAAAUUUAAAAAAAAAACAAGAGGCAGGACAAGAUGAAAUACUUUAUUUAAUACCGGACUUGACCUGUGAGUCUUUUGAGUAUAGUCUCCUCCAGCAGUGGCCAAUGUGAAUAUAGGAGCACGGUAGUUAGGUUUUUAUAUGCUGAGUUAUAGUGCAUGCUGGAGGUUGUUUUUAUCGCUCCUAAAAUUUAAAAGCAGGCUGGCCUGUUGGCUAGAACACCUAUGGCGCUCUUAUAUGUGCGUCCAAUGGUGUGAUUAUGGGAGUUGUGGCUACGUCUUGUCUAGCCAUUCUGACAAGAACAGGCUGAUAUCCUGAAAUAAACCAAGAGAAACGUUAUAGGCAUUGAUUGACCUACCCCGUAGGAGAGCGCCAUGAUGGAAAAGAGAUUAGCGUAAUAUUGGGUGAAGAAAAUAAUUUCAAUGUGCCAGGCCUCAACUGUUCCUCUCUCUGGUUUUGUAAUUAAAAUAUUCGUUUUAUGUAUUACGAGUUUCACUGUAUCAGUUUCAUCAGCUUCAUCUCAUUUUAUAGAAUGCGCCUUGCACGCACACCACGCAUUUGUAGAGUCUCAUACAGCCUGUUAUUUUUAUCAGACAUUGACACAUUAAUUCUGGUAACUGAUUAAAGGUGCAAUCCUAAUAUUGGUCUUUCUGUGCUUUAUAUAUAGAGCUGUGUGCUGUUGAAUUGUUUUUCUCUUUUCAGGUGGCGUUUUUCGAGUCACGGUAAAAUGAUGUAUUUCAAUUUGUGACUUGUAUGUGUUGGUGAAAUGUGCUAAAUGUGCAAAUAAACCUUUCUGAAUGUUUUGCGUGCUCUCAUUUCUCUUUUUUUAAAGGCGGGAUUGCACCUUUAAUAUAUCACAUGUUUAUUUUUUUUCACGUGAUUAUGCAUGCCACGUAUGUGACACUCAUGAUUAGAAUAUGUGGUCCUCCAAUCUUCAUUACAGCCAUCAAUGUAAAUCCGUUUCAUAGAAUGUCUGUAUCCUUUGUUAAAUCUAGCAUUGUUUCAACAGAUCAGUAGACUAGUUUUUAUCGUUAUGGAUUCUACAUAAAUAAGCAUCAAUUCUUUAUCAACUCAGUUCAUCCAGAUUGUUGAUUCUCAUUCUUCAUUUGUGAUGCACAUUGGAUUGCGUGAAGCAGAAAUUAGAAUGGAAAAAUUUGGGACAUAAGAUUCCUUCGGUCACAAAAUGACAAUGUGAUGUCUUACCAUUGAUAGUUACGCUAGCUUAAAUAAAAUUACAAUGUCCCAAACAUGCUUGAAUUUGUAAAAAUGUAACCGUAAUUUGACAUUAAGCACCAUAGUCUUUAUGGAAGAUAUAUAAUUUUUUUGUUAGUGGCUGAUUAGUGUUGAUAAUCAUGUUUACACAUGAUUAAUAGGUUCUAUGGCUCACUUGGCUGUAUGAUACAUCUUAUCAUACAGUCCUGGAACGUGUGGCUGUCAAGGGUUGGCGCGUUCAGUACUGCCAGUUCCAUCUGGAACGUGAGCUGCACAACUUCUUGCCUAGAGGGAUGUUUGGUUCUCGAGAUAAUGAUCAACAUUAUUACCCAAUUAACUCCUGUUUAAAGAUGCAGAGUUAAUUGGCUAAUGGUGUGUAUAUUGGGAAAAUGCCAAAAAUUACUGUAGGAUAGAGACUUGGGAGAAAGAUGUCUACUAUAAAUCGAGGUUGGUCGAACCCAGGUCUUCAGGCUAACCCUUGAUAUAUUGCUAUGCAAAGUUAAUUAAUAAAGUCAUAAAACAGCAGGAGGUUAAUUCCCUGCGAGAUGAGUUGGAGAUCUUCACUUUUCAUUGACGCGAUCCUUACACUGAAUGCUCAUUAUGCAAGUACUGUGUAAUGACAUUUUUUUUUUUUUUUUUACGGUAUUGAUUUAGGGAACUUAUUUCUUAAUUCAUCAACUAAUCCCUCAGUGCAGUCUUGCUUUUUGUAAAACAGACUUUUUGAAUUGGAGGUCUGACCAGCACAGGGGUGGGUUGCCAAAAACACAUUCUAAACUGCCAACAUCCUUCACUAAAGUGGAAAUUGUUGAGAAUGCAAAGUGGAUUUUCAUUUUAUGUCACACUAGUUAAACUUUAAAAGUUCUCCAAGUCAUCUUUUUUUUUUUCAUUUUGCCUAUUUUAGACAAAAUUGUGAAAUGCACAAUUUAUUACAAGUCUAACUGUCUGAUUAAAAAACCACAUGUGCGUUCAAACUGAAAAAAACAGCGAAACCUCCAUCUGGGCAUUUAUGAAAGUUAAAUGACUCCUACUUGUAGUGAAUUAAAAACAAAACCACAAAAUUGCAGAUUUGGAAGAAUUCUCCACCUCCGUUGUAGUCUCGGCUGUCUUAGCCUAGAUUUUGCUAUUUGGAUAUCAAAACGCUAUAACUGGCAUAUAAGCCAGUAAACGUUUGUAACCUUUUGUAUAUUCUACUGUAAAACGUCGGAUAUCUGAUGUGGGGAAUCCACUGAUGGGCUUAAGGUGGGUGUCUCUCACUAGGUGCAUUCUUGCGAACAGUGCAUAGUAAUGAGACCAUUUCUAGGCAUUGUAUCAGUCACAGAUUGCACUGAUUUUUGUUUAUGUGAAUUUUGGAUUUUCUUAUAUGCAAUAUUGCUAUUACUUAUAUUUAUUCCAUAUUGUAAGUUAAUCUUCACUGUGCGGCAGAGUAAUGCAUUAUGGGUUCUGCAGGCAUGCUCUCCGUUAUUCAGUACAAUAUGAAUUGUUGGGAUUCCAAAGUGAAUUUCCUGAAUUAUGAAAUUCACUUUGAGAUGCUUACAAUUCACAAUAUAGUGAAUAAAGCUGUCACAAGUUAUAGUACAGGGAAUUCCAUGUGCAACAAACCCAUAACUUGUAUGUGACUACUCGGUCACUUCCAUAAUGAAUUCAGACGGCCUAUCUAGAUGCAAUGUUCAGCUGCUAUGGACUUUCACACGAUUCCAAGUGUAAAAUAAUGUCAGAGGUGACUUUUGUUAACUAGGAAUCCUAUAAUUUCUAAUGUCUCUCUUUUGUCACAAUCUCCUGGAAACCACCACUCGCCCUCCUUUCUUUUUUGCAUACAGACAAUGUGUGAUGGAGGGACGGGAGCCCCCGACCCGACCAAACCGUACGACGCCCGCUAGUCCAAGGGUGACGCCUGCUCUGGUGAAAAGGCCACGGUUCCAGACUUUGGCUCGUUUCUGGGAAGGUCAGGAUGUCCUGGCACGAUGGACAGAUGGACUUCUCUAUCUGGGAAUAAUCAA
rnacentral:lncRNA from 1 species